AAUAGAUAUAAAUAUUUUUGAAUUUUGUAUUGGCCAGGCCAGAGGAAGAUUUAAGAAAUAUUGGUGUCGAUCAAAUAAAAAUCGAUCGAAUAAAAAAAUACUCUCUAAAAAAAAAUACUUAUUCAACAAAUGUAAAAAAAUUAAUAAGGUCAAAUUAUUAUUGUGAAAUAAGAUAUUGGAAGAUCAUCAUGAACACCAUAUGCUUUGUGAAAUUUUAAUAAGCCAUCCAUGAAUUUUAGUGAAACAUCUUCAUUAACAAACCAAAAAGGCUGUUGAUUUCUAUUACUAUUUGAUUGGUAAUACAAUUCAUUUUCAGAACUAUUUGAUAAAGGAUCAUCUAAAAAUAAUAUUAAACAAUUAAAUAAGUUUUAAUAUUUAUUUCUACUUAAUGUGAAACAUUGUUCCAUAAAAUUUAGAUUAUUCUAGUUAAUAUUUUGUUGAAUUUUACAGGAUUAUUAAAGUGUUUUACAUCCACUCUUAUAAGCUAUGGUUGUAUAAGAGAACACAAGGAAACCUACAUAGCCCAGCCACAACAGAAUUGCACCCUGUUACUUAUACACAAAGACACAAUUUGUUACUGACAGGAUUAAGUAAUCAAACAAUUCUAGGGGGUGUCACUAGAAUCUUAAAAGUUCAUUAUUAACGGCCACUCUAACUGACACUAAAUAGUAUCUUCCAAAUCUACUAUGGUAAUGUUGUCAUUUUUAGUAGCUAAUAAAUAAAUAUCACAAAUAUUUUACUGUUUAAGAUAUUUUAUUUAUUUUUUGCAGAUUAUUAUUUAAAAGUAACAAAAAAUUCGUAAGUAGGCAGCUAGGAGACACCGAUUCAAUGCUUAUAAAAGAGUACUGAACAGAACAGUAAAUGACUGACUGAAGAGACUUCCAUUCUACUAGAGUAAUGCUGUCAAUUUUAGUAGCUAAUAAAUAUUAAAAAUAUUUUACAAUACUAUUUAUAAAAAUUAAUUAUUUUAUGUGUUUAAUUGUUAUGAUUGAUAAUAAAAAAUAAAUUCUGUACUCUCACAUUUACUAAGCCAAUAUAUUGUAAAACAAAUUAUAAAUCAUAUUUAA